CCUACGGGUGGCUGCAAUCAGGGAUCUUGCACAAUGAGCGAAAGCUAGAUGCAGCGACGCCGCGUGGACGAGGAAGUCCUUCGGGAUGUAAAGUCCUUUUCGGAGGGAAGAUGAUGACGGUACCUCCGGAAUAAGCCCCGGCUAACUACGUGCCAGCAGCCGCGGUAAUACGUAGGGGGCGAGCGUUGUCCGGAUUUAUUGGGCGUAAAGGGCGCGCAGGCGGCCAUUUAAGUUCGUGGUGAAAGACCGGGGCUCAACCCCGGAGUGUCCGCGAA
rnacentral:rRNA from 1 species